UUCUGUUAAUGAAUUUUCGCUCAUCAACGGAGGGUUAGGAUGAUUAAAUUUGGUAGGACAGACGAAUGAGCAAAUAGGUGGUCGGCGAGGCGAGCAAAUAGGUGAGCGGCAUCUGCAUGCGAAGCGGCCACUGCCUCGCCAAGCAAGGAGCGGCCGCCUCGCCAAGCAACGAGUGGCCGCUCCCUUAUUUCCUAAUUUCCUUUCCGCCAAAAUCUUUUCCCACGAGCCUACCUCCCAAUUCCAUUACCUCUUCGCAUUAUCGGCACGAACAAGCCGCCUCGCACCCUCUCGGCAAGAUUCCCUUUCCCCAUUCCCUUCUCAUCUUCCUUGACGCCUUCUUUUUCCAUCGCCAUUUAACAAAUUUAUUUAUUUUUUUAUCUUCUGCACCUCCAUUCACGGUACGGGAGCAUGCCUUCGCAGAUGAUGGCAACAUGGAGCAUUGCGUUAAAGUACCAAAACCAGACACUAGUGACAUUUGGAUUCUUUGCCUCCCUCGAUCUCUUUGUCACAGAUCUCAUGCGUUCAAUUCGUCACCAUUCUUACUUUUCUUUCCUUUUCUUUUUUUACAUCUUUUAUGUGUUUUUCUAUAGUUUUUUAUAUUUCGGAUCUGAAUGAAAUGUUGGCUACAGGUCUCAAUUAUGAGGACUUGCAAUUGAAGUCAUUCUUUGGUUCAACAGGGGACAUUAAGUUUAGAGAGAGCUCUAAUGAAUAUAAACAAAGGUAAAGUUGUAUUCUUUUUUCUUCAUUUGAUUUUUCUAGUAAUUUUCCCCACUAAAUUAGUGAUGCUAUUGUUUUCAGUUAAUGAUUGACAAAAGAUCACGAAGUCAGCAUGUAACUGGAAGUGGAUUUUUUUUUUUUUUAAUUCUUGUUUCAAGUUAUGAUUUUAAUUUGUUGAUUUGAUAUUCAAGAGAUUUAUAAGGAACAUAGAGUUAAACUUGACAAUCUUGGAACCAGUGUCUGAUGAUUUUCAUGUUCAUUCUUUUCUUCUGAGUUGAAUGUUAGCAAUUAAAAGAUCCAUGAUUAAUUUCCUAAACUUAUAGUUGACAAUAACAGAAACGUCUGAUGAUUUUCAUCUAUACCCCUUUCUUCUGAGUUGAGCAAAGUUAGGAAUUGAAGGAACCCUUACCAAAUGCCUCAAAUUUUGUUCAUCUAUUCUGCGUGCUCAAAAUCUUCUAUUCUAUGCUUUUUAAAGAUGUUUUUUACUUAUUGCAAUAUGAUUUUCAAUAUUAGAGGAAAAAGUUGAAAGACUUGAGACACAGUUAGCUGCAGAAGAUAGGGAGCUAACCACUUUAAUCAGAAUGGGUUGUCAAAUUGGAAUUAUUAUUUUUUUGCAUUUUUUGUUUUAAAUCUCUAAAAGUAUGUUUGAACAAGAAGCUAAAAUAAAGCUAAGUCUGAAAGCUUAGAUUUAAAAGUUGCACAUAUAUGCAUUGCUUGUGUGCAUAUAGUUGUUCUAUUGGUGUUCAUUUUUUUUUUUCAUUUAAAUGGAAUAUGCAUUCAAUUUAUAUUUUCAGUUAGCAUAAUUCUAUUACAAUGUAUUUUUUUAUUGAGGUACCCUUGAUUGGUUCUUUCUUGCAUUGUUAACAUAAUAAUAUUUUUUUGUUUGAUGAGAUAGAUCGAGUUUAACAAGCUUGAUGUGGCAUUUCCUCUAUGAUAUUUCACUCCUAUUUUUUAUCUCAAAUAAUUCUGGAACCAAAAGGCAAAAACCAAUAUAUAGUAACCCUUUAUCUCCAAAACAAGGUAUGUGAUCUUGAUGAACUACUGCCCUCUACCACUGCUAUCUACUGAUAUCCUUCUUAAGGGGCUCCUUUUUCUUGCAAACCAGCUGAUAAAAGGGUUUGUGUUGUUUCUAAUUUGCUUCCCAUGUUUUUGACAAGGAUUCAGCAGCACAGACCCAAGAAAUGUUUUUGCUCUGAAUUCCGUGUCUAAUUAAUGGGCGAAUACACCUCCAAGCUACAAGAAUUCGGCUCCCAGCGAUCAAUGGAAAGGAGUCAACUUCAGUAAUUUAAGGGUGAUACGACAGUGAAUUUCCUUGCCACCUGAUGAAUUGUUCAUUUGUUAUUAAUUGUAUCUUCCUUUUGAUCAAUAUUAAUCUGAAAGACUACUACAGGAACUAUUUAACAUGGAUUUUAAUGGUAGUUUGAGUAGUGACAUAGGAAACCUUAGUGAAUUGGAAGAAUUUCAAGUGCCUUGUAAGUCUACAAACGCUGAGAAAUUGGAGAUUUAAUAUAUGAAUAUUUGGAUGUCCAUAACUGUAAGGUCCACUUCCAACAAGCAUUCUUUCAUGAACUUAAUAUAUGAAGUUGUUGCAGUUAUUGCCCAUGAACUUGGACAUUGGAAACUCAAUCACACAAUGUAUUCUUUCAUUGCUGUUCAGGUGUUUUUUUUAUACUCCACUUCAAUAUUUCUGAAGCAUCUUAUCAUGUUUAAUGCCACAAUAUUUGUAAAAUCAUGAUUUUGAUUUUGAUUUUGACAUCUGAUAGAAUUUAUUGGACUAAGUUGGCAGACUAAGAAAAGGUGAUCAUUCAUUCUGCCUUUAUCUGAACUCUUGAUAGAUUUAUGCUCUUUAUCUGAACUCUCUGGAUAGAUUAAUCUAUAAUGUUUGUUCUAAAAGCCUAAUGAAACCUGCAAAUUGUUCCUUUUAAAAUAUUAAAAUCUUCAAAAUUUGUGAAAGUAAGGAAAUUCUUAAUUGCUCUUUAGUAGAUUUAGAAUGGAGCUUUGAAUUCAUUAAAAAAAAAAAAAAAAAGGCAGCCCGGUGCACGAAGCUCCCGUCAUGCGGAGUCCCGGGGAAGGAUCCAUUAGCCUUACCCUGUUUUUUCCAAGAGGUUAUUUUCAGGAUUCGAACCCGUCACUUUUUGGUCACAUGGCAACAAUUUUACCGUUGUGCCAACUGUCAAGACUCCCCUUCUGGAGCUUUGAAUUCAUCUGUUUAUUUAAAUAAAGGAAUGCAACAUUUGAGCUUUUUAUUAGGCAGGAAUUUCAAGAGUUGUAAUUGGCUUGAGACAUGCAUUCCAACAUUUAAGAGAGAAAGUAAUCCAGUCAUUAAGAAAUGAAGGUGUUCAAGUUGAUGUUCUUGGGGAGGACUUACAGAGUAAAACCUUUGAGGGAGGAAGAUAAAGAAGAUGACUUAAGAGACUUGGUCAGAGAUAGGAUGUUUGAAAAGGGCCAAAGCAAGCGGAUAUGGGAUGAGCGGUAUAAAAUGUUAGAUGCUCGAGAUCUCAAGGGACAAGAUGCUUACCACUUGGAGAAGCACUUAAAGGAGCACUUUCGGGUGAAACACUUAAAGGAGCACUUAAAGGUUCCAGAUGUUUUACCAUCAUUCUCAAUAUGAUGAAAUAAAAAGUAAGUGAAUUCAUCUAUUCCUAUGUGGAUGCCUAAGAUUCAUGUACAUUGUGAUAUAAAUUUUUAGGUUGUAUUUAGAUAUUUGUGAAUACAUUUUUAGUUGAAGUUGGUCAAACGUGUUUUUGUGAAUAC